rnacentral:lncRNA from 1 species
ACAGUCACUCCCAAUGAUACCACCCAUACCACACCCUGACAAUGGUUCUAAUGCUUCCAAAGGAAACUACCAGCCAGAGUGCAGGAGCCAAUGGUGAACUCCCACUUACAGUUUUGGCCCUCAUAGAUAAUGAGGUCCAUCUGAGAAGCGGCAUAUUCGCGAAGGAGGAGCAAUGGCCUUGGCUGCGGUCGCGGCCCAAGGACUCCUUAUUUUGCAAGGAGGCCACAAAGCUCCUGUGGAGUAUCCUUGAGCU